rnacentral:rRNA from 1 species
CCUACGGGGCGCACCAGUGGGGAAUAUUGCACAAUGGGCGCAAGCCUGAUGCAGCCAUGCCGCGUGUAUGAAGAAGGCCUUCGGGUUGUAAAGUACUUUCAGCGGGGAGGAAGGUGUUGUGGUUAAUAACCACAACAAUUGACGAUACCCACAGAAGAAGCACCGGCUAACUCCGUGCCAGCAGCCGCGGUAAUACGGAGGGUGCAAGCGUUAAUCGGAAUUACUGGGCGUAAAGCGCACGCAGGCGGUCUGUCAAGUCGGAUGAGAAAUCCCCGGGCUCAACCUGGGAACUGCAUUCGAAACUGGCAGGCUAGAGUCUUGUAGAGGGGGGUAGAAUUCCAGGUGUAGCGGUGAAAUGCGUAGAGAUCUGGAGGAGUACCGGUGGCGAAGGCGGCCCCCUGGACAAAGACUGGCGCUCAGGUGCGAAAGCGUGGGGAGCAAACAGGAUUAGAUACCCCGGUAGUC